ACUCCAUGGUGAGGACAAGACCUAGUAUAACCCUUCAAUCUUUCCCAAGCUUCAUAGAGAGCGUCAUUUGGGACCUUGUUUGAAGCUCGUGAUAUCAUUCAUAAUUCU
rfam:Arabis alpina cultivar Pajares scaff_71535_1_contig_11, whole genome shotgun sequence.